CCUACGGGUGGCAGCAGUAGGGAAUAUUGCUCAAUGGGGGAAACCCUGAAGCAGCAACGCCGCGUGGAGGAUGAAGGUUUUCGGAAUUUAAACUCCUUUUUGUAGAGAAGCUAAUCACGGUAUCUGACGAAUAAACAACAGUUUACUCCGUGACAGCAUCCGCGGUAAUAAGGCAGGAGGAAGCGUUACUCGGAAUCACUGGGCGUAAAGCGGGCUGAGGCGGGAAGGCUAGGCAGAUGGGAAAACCUAUGGCUUAAACAUAGAACUGCAGUUGAAACUGGUAUUCUGGAGUAUGGGAGAGGUAGGUGGAAUUCGUGGUGUAGCGGUAAAAUGCGUAGAGAUCAAGAGGAAUACUCAUUGCGAAGGCGACAUGCUAGAACAUAACUGACGCUGAUGCGCGAAAGCGUGGGGAGCGAACAGGAUUAGAUACCCCAGUAGUC
rnacentral:rRNA from 1 species